rnacentral:lncRNA from 1 species
ACUCUGAAUAUUUAUAGAGCUGAGGGUCAGCAUUGAAUAUGUUCUCUGGUUUUAUCACAGAUACUUCCUCUUAUCUCUUAUCUUCCCACCUGAGCCACCAGUUCAUAGAGGGUAUGAAUGUCUGACUGCCUCCAGGCAUACAGCCAGAACUCACUGUGUCUGGACGGGCCUCAUACUACAGCCUCCACCCCUUCCAACCUCCUCUGCGACAGACUGUGGCUAUGUUCUUCCUGCUGAACACCACCUCUGCCCUGAUGGCUCCUGCAACUUGGACAAAGUGACAAGGUGAAGUUCAGGAGGCUCUGUGUUGCUGAAGAAUUGGCCUUGAGGUUAUUUCAUGCCUGAAUGACCAGUGGUUUACUACCAGAAUCAUCUGGCUUCCUGCAAGGAAGAUUUGGGGCUUGGUAUCUGUUCCCCUCUCAGACUCAGCAGACACCUAGCCACCGCUGAAGUCACUGAAAUCGGAUCUACCAUCCACAGAAGUGGCUCCUCGAGUCUGAGUCACCAGAGGACAGAGGAAGAGGGGCCACUCUGGUAGCAGUUUCAGGUAAUGGCAAACAGACAUCUGGCCA